UACGAGAGGCCCAAACGUUAUUCGGAAUUACUGGGCUUAAAGGGUGCGUAGGCGGCGCAGUAAGUUGGGUGUGAAAUCCCUCGGCUUAACCGAGGAAUUGCGCCCAAAACUACUGUGCUCGAGGGAGAUAGAGGUGAGCGGAACUUAGGGUGGAGCGGUGAAAUGCGUUGAUAUCCUAAGGAACACCGGUGGCGAAAGCGGCUCACUGGAUCUCUUCUGACGCUGAGGCACGAAAGCUAGGGUAGCAAACGGG
rnacentral:rRNA from 1 species